GUGAGUCACUCGCUCGCUUCACCCACACGCUCUAGUCUCCAACUCGAACCCUAGAAUUCAAUUUCAUCCCAAAGGACUGAGCUUCAAUUGCAUCCUCGAUUUCCACUGCAAUUUCCUCUCUCUCCGAAAAUGGGAAUCAAGGUAGUUCAGCCUCCGUCUUCUUCUUCAAUCCCAUCAUUUCCAUAUGUGAAAUUGAAUCGCCCCCGUUGAUUUCGGUAGGGGCUGACGAAGCUACUGGCGGACAACGCCCCGAAGGCGAUGAAGGAGCGGAAGCCGGAGAGCUACUCGGGCCGGAGGAUCGCAGUCGAUGCCACCAUGAAUUGAUGUUUGUGAUUGAUUGUGCGUUUCGGUGUCGGCGGGGAUUUGGAUUUUGAGUGUUGGUGGUUGUUUUUGGUCUUUGAUUGGUGGAUCAGGUUGUGGUUGGGAGGAAGGGGGCUCAGAUGCUCACCAAUGAGGCCGGUGAAGUCACCAGGUACUACUUCUGGCAUUGGAAUACUCCACGGAAAUGAAAAUCCACUUUGCUCGAGUUUCUGUUUUGAUGCUUCAGAUGUUAUUGCUCGGACUCGGGUUUCAUGUGUAUGAGAUCGACGCGUGUCGCGUUAUUUUGUACUUGCGAUGUGGUCUUUGUGAUUGGAAAGUGAUGACGCUUUGUGAUUUGUCUUCUCGUGUAGUCAUCUGCAAGGCGUGCUUUAACGGACGAUUAGGCUGUUGGAUGCGGGGAUAUAGCCGGUCUACGUAUUUGAUGGUAAACCUCCAGAUUUGAAGAAGCAAGAGCUUGCACAGCGUUUUUCAAAGAGGGCAGAUGCCUCUGAGGAGUUGGCAGUAGCCGUUGCGGUAUAAGCAUCUCUCUCUCUCUGCCUCUCUCACGCACACUCACAUCAGCACGCAGAAACAC